GAUGAACGCUGGCGGCGUGCUUAACACAUGCAAGUCGAACGGAGAAUUGAAGCUUGCUUUAAUUCUUAGUGGCGGACGGGUGAGUAACGCGUGGGUAACCUGCCCUUAAGUGGGGGACAACAGUUGGAAACGACUGCUAAUACCGCAUAAAGUUGAGAGUCUGCAUGGACUUUUAACCAAAGGAGUAAUCCGCUUUUGGAUGGACCCGCGUCUGAUUAGCUAGUUGGUGAGGUGACGGCUCACCAAGGCGACGAUCAGUAGCCGGCCUGAGAGGGUGAUCGGCCACACUGGGACUGAGACACGGCCCAGACUCCUACGGGAGGCAGCAGUGGGGAAUCUUCCGCAAUGGACGAAAGUCUGACGGAGCAACGCCGCGUGAGGGAUGAAGGCCUUCGGGUUGUAAACCUCUGUCUUCAGGGAAGAAAAAAAUGACGGUACCUGAGGAGGAAGCCCCGGCUAACUACGUGCCAGCCGCCGCAGUAAUAC
rnacentral:rRNA from 1 species